GUUAAUGUAGCAGAGCCAGGCUAUGCCAAAGCCCUAAACCCUUUUUACAGGGGUUCAAAUCCCCUCAUUAACU
rnacentral:tRNA from 1 species